GACGAAGGAUGCAAGCGUUAUCCGGAUUCAUUGGGUUUAAAGGGAGCGUAGGCGGCCUUGUAAGUCAGUGGUGAAAUCUCGCAGCUUAACUGCGAAAUUGCCAUUGAUACUGCAGGGCUUGAGUACAGUUGCCGUUGGCGGAAUAUGACAUGUAGUGGUGAAAUACAUAGAGAUGUCAUAGAACACCGAUUGCGAAGGCAGCUAACGAAACUGUAACUGACGCUGAGGCUCGAAAGUGCGGGGAUCAAACAGG
rnacentral:rRNA from 1 species